ACAACAUUGAAACCGAUGGUCUACCGAGCAUUAUCAGCGGCUCGGUGGAAGAUCCUCCCUCUGACGU
rnacentral:pre_miRNA from 1 species